rnacentral:rRNA from 1 species
UACGUAGGGUGCAAGCGUUGUCCGGAAUCAUUGGGCGUAAAGCGCGUGUAGGCGGCCACGUUAGUCCGUUCUGAAAGCCCGGGGCUCAACCCCGGGAGGCGGAUGGAUACUGCGUGGCUCGAGUUCGGAAGAGGCGAGUGGAAUUCCUGGUGUUGCGGUGGAAUGGGCAGAUAUCAGGAGGAACACCAAUGGCGAAGGCAGCUCGCUGGGACGUGACUGACGCUGAGACGCGGAAGCGUGGGGUGCAAAGAGG